CGAGCCUCUCAAAGUGAAGUCUGUUUCCCCAGAUCCGCCACUGCACGGGAGCUGCGCAGACCGGACGCGCCACAACUGAAAUGAGUCUGCCCAGCGGGUGUGGGCCGGACUGGACACGCCACAACUGAAUAGAGUCCACCCGGCAGGUGUGGGACAGAUCCACAGGAGCUGCGCAGACCAGACGCGCCACAACUAAUGGAACGCUUUUUUUCUGCAUAAACCCGCAACUCUAUUUGAAAUGCAGAGAGGAAGACUGCAGGCUGCACCGUCUUUGUGAUUAUUGGCUACGUCUUACAGCAGGGCUGGACUGGCCAUC